rnacentral:rRNA from 1 species
UCAGAAUGAACGCUGGCGGCGUGCUUAACACAUGCAAGUCGUACGAGAACUCUUUAGCUUGCUAAAGAUAGUAAAGUGGCGCACGGGUGAGUAACGCGUGGGUAAUCUACCUUCGAAUCGGGGAUAACAUUGCGAAAGCGAUGCUAAUACCAGAUAAUAUCUCAAAACCAUCAGUUUUUGAGAUCAAAAAUGGCCUCUACAUGUAAGCUGUUGUUUGGAGAUGAGCCCGCGUACCAUUAGCUUGUUGGUAGGGUAAUGGCCUACCAAGGCAACGAUGGUUAGCUGGUCUGAGAGGAUGAUCAGCCACACUGGAACUGACACACGGUCCAGACUCCUACGGGAGGCAGCAGUGAGGAAUUUUGCGCAAUGGGGGAAACCCUGACGCAGCAACGCCGCGUGAGUGAUGAAGGCCUUCGGGUUGUAAACCUCUUUUAUUAAGGAAAAAUUUAAUGGUGUUAAUACCACCAUUAAUUGAUGGUACUUAUUGAAUAAGCCCCGGCUAACUACGUGCCAGCAGCCGCGGUAAUACGUAGGGGGCGAGCGUUGUCCGGAGUUACUGGGCGUAAAGAGCGUGUAGGCGGUUGGAAAGGUCAGGUGUGAAAUCUUUCGGCUCAACCGGGAGACUGCGCCUGAAACUUUUUGACUGGAGUUCGGGAGGGGCAAUCGGAAUUCCUGGUGUAACGGUGAAAUGUGUAGAUAUCAGGAAGAACACCAGUGGCGAAGGCGGAUUGCUGGACCGAAACUGACGCUGAGACGCGAAAGCGUGGGGAGCAAACAGGAUUAGAUACCCUGGUAGUCCACGCCGUAAACGAUGAGAGCUAGGUGUAGGAGGUAUCGACUCCUUCUGUGCCGGAGUUAACGCAUUAAGCUCUCCGCCUGGGGGGUUACGGCCGCAAGGUUAAAACUCAAAGGAAUUGACGGGGGCCCGCACAAGCGGUGGAGUAUGUGGUUUAAUUCGAUGAUACGCGAGAAACCUUACCUGGUCUUGACAUGUAGAGAAUCUCUGGAGACAGAGAGUGCCUGCUUGCAGGAGCUCUAACACAGGUGGUGCAUGGUUGUCGUCAGCUCGUGUCGUGAGAUGUUGGGUUAAGUCCCGCAACGAGCGCAACCCUUGUUACUAGUUGCCAGCACGUAAUGGUGGGGACUCUAGUGAGACUGCCGGUGACAAACCGGAGGAAGGUGGGGAUGACGUCAAAUCAUCACGCCCCUUACGACCAGGGCCACACACGUACUACAAUGCCCGGUACAACGAGUAGCCAGACCGCGAGGUCGAGCGAAUCUAUUAAAACCGGGCCAAGUUCGGAUCGGAGUUUGCAACUCAACUCCGUGAAGCUGGAAUCGCUAGUAAACGCAAAUCAGCAUGUUGCGUUGAAUACGUUCUCGGGCCUU